CCAUAAUGUUUGCAUAGGCCUUUGGGCAAAAUUAAUUAUGACCUGAUAGUUUGAUAUAAAGAGAAAUGAUAAAUGGCUCGUAUAACAGAACCAAUCAUAGUUGUUCCUAAUAAUUUUUUUCCUUCAGUAUCAGAGGUCCUCUGCUGUUAAGGAUAUUAUUAACCUGCUAAUAUUGGAGCUCCAAACUCAGCCACCACUAAGAGUUAAACAACUCUCCUCAACUGGGGUUUGAAUUGCUUGUCAGAGCCGAGGUCAAUCUCACUGUUAAAUGACAGAUGUUUGCCUGCAAAUCCCUUGUAUCUCUUCAUGGGAUAUAAAGUUCAGUGCCUGGAACAACAGGGUGGUAUUCUUUAAUAACUGUUAAAUUUAUUCUUUAGAGAUUUUACAAAGAUGUCCUAUUGCUCCUGGAGGGCUCCCUUGACACCCAACUCUGCAUUUUCUUUUUGCAUAAUGCCUACAAUUUAAAGCCACCAGGCUCCCUGUUGUAUAGCUCCUGUAUCCUUGGUUCAGUAUAACCAAAAUACUCAUAAAUCUCCUUUUCUUUCAGUAGCUUUCUGCAGCAGCUGGGGUAUGACAGUGAUGUCCCUGAUCUAUAAUUCCAGACAGCCCUGGGGUGAACAGACAGACCAAUCCAGAGCCACUACGUCAGAUAAAACGAUGUUGUUUGCACAACUCAGUGUCCUCAAGAGCCCCUCAGUCAUGUCCGACUCUUUGCCACCUGUGGACUGCAGCAUGCCAAACUUCGCUGUCCUUCACCAUCUCCCAGACCUUGCUCAAACUCAUGUCCAUUGAGUUGGUGAUGCCAUCCAACCAUCUAAUCCUCUGUCGUCUUCUCCUGCCUUCAAUCUUCCCCAGCAUCAGGGUCUUUUCCAGUGAGUCAGUUCUUUGCAUCAAGUGGCCAAAGUAUUCGAGCUUUAGCUUCAGCAUCAGUCCUUCCAAUGAAUAUUCUGGACUGAUUUCCUUUAGGAUUGACUGAUUUGCAAGUGUCCUUGCAGUCCAAGGGACUCAAGAGUCUUCUCCAACACCACAGUUCAAAAGCAUCAGUUCUUCAGCUCUCAGCCUGCUUUAUGGUCCAACUCUCACAUCCCUACAUGACUACUGGAAAAACCAUAGCUUUGAGUACAUGGGCCUAGGUUGGCAAAGUAAUGUCUUUGCUUUUUAAUAUGCUGUAUAGGUUUGUCAUAGCUUUUCUUCCAAGGAGCAAGCAUCUUUUAAUUUCAUGACUGCACUCACCAUCUGCAGUGAUUUUAGAGCCCAAGAAAAUAAAGUCUGUCACUGUCUCCAUUGUUUCCCUAUCUAUUUACCAUGGAGUGAUAGGACCAGAUGCCAUGAUCUUAGUUUUCUGAAUGUUGAGUUUUAUGCCAGUUUUUUCAUUCUGCUCUUUCAUCAAGAGACUUUUUAGUUCUCUUCGCUUUCUGUGAUAAGGGUGGUAUUAUCUACAUAUCUGAGGUUAUUGAUAGUUCUCCUGGCAAUCUUGAUUCCAGCUU
ensembl:lncRNA